GUCAAGCUAUUAAGGGCACAUGGGGGAUGUCUUGGCAUCAGAAGACAUGGCGUGGAAGACUGCGAUAAGCCUGGGGGAGUUGUCAAACGAACGUUGAUCCCGGGAUUCCUGUUCAACCUAGGGAACUGAAACAUCUAAGUACCUAGAGGAGAAGAAAGAAAAAUCGAUUCCGUCAGUAGCGGCGAGCGAACGCGGAAUAGCCCAAACCUUGAGGAUUUUCCUCAGGGGGUUGUAGGGCCUCUCAUAUGGAAGUUACAAAACUGCCGACUAGCCGAUAUGACAUGGAAAGGUCAACCAUAGAGGGUGACAGUCCCGUAGGCGAAAGUUGUGUAGUCUUCCGAGAGGUACCUGAGUAGGUCCAGUCACGUGAAACCUGGAUUGAAUCUGCGGGGCCCAUCCCGUAAGGCUAAAUACUCUCUGAUGACCGAUAGUGAACUCAGUAGCGCGAGUGAAAGAUGAGAAGAACCCCGACAAGGGGAGGUAUGUGAACCUGAAACCAUGUGCCUACAAGCGGUCGGAGCCCGAUUCAUGGGUGACGGCGUGCCUUUUGCAUAAUGAUCCGGCGAGUU
rnacentral:rRNA from 18 species